UGGAGAAGGAAAUGUCAGGAAAGCCGUCAGAACGGGCAGCAUAUCUAAGUCCCCGGCAUUGAUUCUGCUGGGAGGAGUAUCCAGAUUUCUGGGCCAACAGGAGCCACAUCUGAACCAUAUGUAGGAACUUCCAUGCAUCACCUCAAGAUCCUGGACUUUGAGCUUGAUGCCAUGACUGGACGAGACUUUGAUGUGGCCUGCCUUGGGGAGGAGGCUAAGUGGAUAACUGGGAAAAAGCGGAAGACGAAGGAAAUACGGAAGACUUACAGGCAGAUUCUUGGGAAG